UACAGAGGUCUCAAGCGUUGUUCGGAUUCAUUGGGCGUAAAGGGUGCGUAGGUGGUGCGGUAAGUCGGGUGUGAAAUUUCGGAGCUUAACUCCGAAACUGCAUUCGAUACUGCCGUGCUUGAGGACUGGAGAGGAGACUGGAAUUUACGGUGUAGCAGUGAAAUGCGUAGAGAUCGUAAGGAAGACCAGUGGCGAAGGCGGGUCUCUGGACAGUUCCUGACACUGAGGCACGAAGGCCAGGGGAGCAAACGGG
rnacentral:rRNA from 1 species